AGUUUUUUACGAAAUUAUAUAUGUACAUUAUUUGCAUUGUCGAUUCGAACAGAAACAUAACAUUGUCAUAAUAAUGAAAUUUACUGGAGUAUUGUUAUACAUUUUGCUAGUUAUGGCAGUCAUUUUUGACUCUACUAACGCUUUUUUUAGGAAUCAUGUAAACGUUACUCACAAGCAGAUUAACAUCAAUGUUAAGAUGGAAAAGCCUGAGAGAAAGCGUCCUAUAGGAUAUGUAAAAAUGUAUACUACUUAAUACAACGCAUAGAUUAUACGAAAUAAUAGAUAUACAUAGAUACAAAAAUUGGUAUUUUAUGGAAUUAAUUCGUAUUUUUUAAAAUUGAAUGAAAUAAAAAAAUUAAAAAAAAU